ensembl:vault_RNA Vault Vault RNA
GCGUUGGUUUAGCUCAGUGGUUACUUCCAAUUGACCAGAAGAUCACUGUCUCACGGCUGUCGAAAAUCCGGAGAUCCAACCACGGGCGUUGUCCAACGUUUUU